ACGCUGGCGGCAGGCCUAACACAUGCAAGUCGAACGGACCCUUCGGGGUUAGUGGCGGACGGGUGAGUAACACGUGGGAACGUGCCUUUAGGUUCGGAAUAGCUCCUGGAAACGGGUGGUAAUGCCGAAUGUGCCCUUCGGGGGAAAGAUUUAUCGCCUUUAGAGCGGCCCGCGUCUGAUUAGCUAGUUGGUGAGGUAAAGGCUCACCAAGGCGACGAUCAGUAGCUGGUCUGAGAGGAUGACCAGCCACAUUGGGACUGAGACACGGCCCAAACUCCUACGGGAGGCAGCAGUGGGGAAUCUUGCGCAAUGGGCGAAAGCCUGACGCAGCCAUGCCGCGUGAAUGAUGAAGGUCUUAGGAUUGUAAAAUUCUUUCACCGGGGACGAUAAUGACGGUACCCGGAGAAGAAGCCCCGGCUAACUUCGUGCCAGCAGCCGCGGUAAUACGAAGGGGGCUAGCGUUGCUCGGAAUUACUGGGCGUAAAGGGAGCGUAGGCGGACAUUUAAGUCAGGGGUGAAAUCCCAGAGCUCAACUCUGGAACUGCCUUUGAUACUGGGUGUCUUGAGUGUGAUAGAGGUAUGUGGAACUCCGAGUGUAGAGGUGAAAUUCGUAGAUAUUCGGAAGAACACCAGUGGCGAAGGCGACAUACUGGAUCAUUACUGACGCUGAGGCUCGAAAGCGUGGGGAGCAAACAGGAUUAAUACCUGGUAUCCA
rnacentral:rRNA from 1 species